rnacentral:rRNA from 1 species
CCUACGGGUGGCAGCAGUGAGGAAUAUUGGUCAAUGGGCGGGAGCCUGAACCAGCCAAGUCGCGUGAGGGACGACGGUCCUAUGGAUUGUAAACCUCUUUUGUCGGGGAACAAAGGCGUCCACGGGUGGGCGGAUGAGUGUACCCGAAGAAAAAGCAUCGGCUAACUCCGUGCCAGCAGCCGCGGUAAUACGGAGGAUGCGAGCGUUAUCUGGAUUUAUUGGGUUUAAAGGGUGCGUAGGCGGACAGUCAAGUCAGCGGUAAAAAUGCGGUGCUCAACGCCGUACAGCCGUUGAAACUGGCAGUCUUGAGUGGGCGAGAAGUAUGCGGAAUGCGUGGUGUAGCGGUGAAAUGCAUAGAUAUCACGCAGAACUCCGAUUGCGAAGGCAGCUUACCAAUCUAUAUCUGACGUUGAGGCACGAAAGCGUGGGGAGCAAACAGGAUUAGAUACCCUUGUAGUC